CCCACACACCCACAGAGAAAGGCCCUGCUCGUGGGAAAACAGAAGAUCCUGCAAAAGGAACAAAGUCCAGCUGACACCUUGAUGUUAGCCCCAGUGAGACUGACUUCGGACUUCUCACUUCCGGAACUACAAGCUCCUGAGCCCUAAGAUGAAACAACC